rnacentral:rRNA from 1 species
GGAGCUAACGCGUUAAAUCGACCGCCUGGGGAGUACGGCCGCAAGGUUAAAACUCAAAUGAAUUGACGGGGGCCCGCACAAGCGGUGGAGCAUGUGGUUUAAUUCGAUGCAACGCGAAGAACCUUACCUGGUCUUGACAUCCACAGAACUUUCCAGAGAUGGAUUGGUGCCUUCGGGAACUGUGAGACAGGUGCUGCAUGGCUGUCGUCAGCUCGUGUUGUGAAAUGUUGGGUUAAGUCCCGCAACGAGCGCAACCCUUAUCCUUUGUUGCCAGCGGUUAGGCCGGGAACUCAAAGGAGACUGCCAGUGAUAAACUGGAGGAAGGUGGGGAUGACGUCAAGUCAUCAUGGCCCUUACGACCAGGGCUACACACGUGCUACAAUGGCAUAUACAAAGAGAAGCGACCUCGCGAGAGCAAGCGGACCUCAUAAAGUAUGUCGUAGUCCGGAUUGGAGUCUGCAACUCGACUCCAUGAAGUCGGAAUCGCUAGUAAUCGUAGAUCAGAAUGCUACGGUGAAUACGUUCCCGGGCCUUGUACACACCGCCCGUCA